GUUUGGCAUCUGGUAUGGGAAGAGCCGGCUAAAUGCCGAGAGGACAAAGUGCAUCCAGGAGAUAGUGUGUGGGUGCUCGGGUGAAGCUGGUGUUGAGAACACAAGGUCCUGGAGGUGACGAGUUUGAAACUUUGAAUGCGAGUGUGGUCAGUUUGCUCACAUGGGAUUGUUACGUAGCCAUGUCCUGAAGGUGCUCGAUUUCAUCAGGAUAAAAGAAAUUCCAUAGAAGCACAUAGUUAAUAGGUGGACCAGAGAUGCAAGGUAUAUUCUGCCUGCUCACCUUACACAAUAUCAGAGGGACUAUGCUCACAAGAAUCCAUUCAGUUUUACGCAUUUCACUGUGUGCUUCUUUAGUAUAUGGGACCAAAAAAUGUUUGUCGGACUAGUGUGUCCGUCAUCAUUUUUGACGUUGUAAUUCUGAACUUAUCCUGAUUCCAUGUUUGAUAAAACCCAUUAUGGUUUGUGAAUCCAUGUUCUCAGGAUUUCCUAGGAUUAUGACUAUCCAAGGAAAGAGUUUGACUGCUAGUACUGUUUCUGAAUUUUCGUUGAAGUGUAACUCUAAA